rnacentral:misc_RNA from 1 species
GUUGACCUAAAAGUCAUGUUUCUAUUGGAUUUUUACUUGGGUCAACACAUGAUCGCGGAAUCUCAAUAAAACUUGUUCCUUGCCCUAUUAAAAAUAGUAACUUCUAACUCUCGCGGCUGCGACACGAAUCAUAUAUACAUUGGCAUUAUAUACAGUUCUGAUGAUAAUGAUGAUGAUUCUGAUUGGUUGAUAUAUUAUCAUGACUGACACUUUUGAUCAAGAUAUGGUAUUGGAGCUUGAAAAUUCUGCUUGGAAAAUGGAAAUAAAAGAUGAAAAAGUUGAAGAUGACCCUCCAUUAAUGUCCAAUCUCAGCUGGGUAGUGGGUACCAUUAACCAUAGCUUGAAGGGCACCCAGAUUUCUAUGGAUCUUUGGGAACAAAAUUUCCACCACAAGAUCAACAAGACCAUGACAAUUCUUAUCUUAUGCGAUAUUAUGGACUAAUUAACAUACAUCAGCUUGAAACCUCAUCAAGAAGCUUAUACCUUCUCACCUUAUUUCUAAAAACUUGCUUUGUGAUCCCAAUAUUGUUUGAAAUCUCUUCAGAUUUUGUCCUUCUAAUAAUGAGCUUUUCUUCUAAUCUACCAUUUGUGAUGAGUCUCCUUCGGGUCACUGGUGAUCUCUCUGGUGACCUUUGUUUCUUGAUGGGGCUAUUUACUUGCAACUGCAGACUACCUCUUUGGCUCUUUAGACCACCUCCUUUGUUCUUGUUCUGGCUGUUCUUGCUGCUAUCAUCUUUGCUGCUGUUUUUGUUUGAGGAUGAUGAAUUCGAAGAAUUCUGUGAUUUUUCUUUCGUUUCAUGGCUCAGACACCAGUUGCAGACUUGGUAGGACUCAGCUUUGGGAAAAAGAUUACUACAGUAUCUGUGAAAAUUUCAGUGUGAAUAAAGAAUUCCCAGAUUGAUAAAAAGAAACAAUUUUGAUCGUUCAAACGGAUAAAACCCAGAAAGAAUUUGAACUUGUGAUUAAUUUAUAGUAGAUGGGUACCUGUGCUGAGAUCUGAAUUGACAAAUCUUGCACUGAAAAAGCUCAUAAGAAAGGCCACAAUCUCCACACAUGCAGCAUUCAGGGCUUGGAGUUGAUGAUGCAAUGGCUUCUUUGGGUGUUGUGGUCAUA